rnacentral:tRNA from 1 species
ACUCGGGUAGCUCAGUUGGUUAAGCAUCUGACUCUUGAUCUCAGCUCGGGUCUUGAUCUCAGGGUCAUGAGUUCAAGUCCCAUCUUGGGUU